UACGAAGGGGGCUAGCGUUGCUCGGAAUCACUGGGCGUAAAGGGCGCGUAGGCGGCCGAUCAAGUCGGGGGUGAAAGCCUGUGGCUCAACCACAGAAUUGCCUUCGAUACUGUUUGGCUUGAGACCGGAAGAGGUUAGUGGAACUGCGAGUGUAGAGGUGAAAUUCGUAGAUAUUCGCAAGAACACCAGUGGCGAAGGCGGCUCACUGGCCCGGUACUGACGCUGAGGUGCGAAAGCGUGGGGAGCAAACAGG
rnacentral:rRNA from 1 species